GACGAACGCUGGCGGCGUGCUUAACACAUGCAAGUCGAACGGAAAGGCCCUGCUUUUGUGGGGUGCUCGAGUGGCGAACGGGUGAGUAACACGUGAGUAACCUGCCCUUGACUUUGGGAUAACUUCAGGAAACUGGGGCUAAUACCGGAUAGGAGCUCCUGCUGCAUGGUGGGGGUUGGAAAGUUUCGGCGGUUGGGGAUGGACUCGCGGCUUAUCAGCUUGUUGGUGGGGUAGUGGCUUACCAAGGCUUUGACGGGUAGCCGGCCUGAGAGGGUGACCGGCCACAUUGGGACUGAGAUACGGCCCAGACUCCUACGGGAGGCAGCAGUGGGGAAUAUUGCACAAUGGGCGGAAGCCUGAUGCAGCAACGCCGCGUGCGGGAUGACGGCCUUCGGGUUGUAAACCGCUUUCGCCUGUGACGAAGCGUGAGUGACGGUAAUGGGUAAAGAAGCACCGGCUAACUACGUGCCAGCAGCCGCGGUGAUACGUAGGGUGCGAGCGUUGUCCGGAUUUAUUGGGCGUAAAGGGCUCGUAGGUGGUUGAUCGCGUCGGAAGUGUAAUCUUGGGGCUUAACCCUGAGCGUGCUUUCGAUACGGGUUGACUUGAGGAAGGUAGGGGAGAAUGGAAUUCCUGGUGGAGCGGUGGAAUGCGCAGAUAUCAGGAGGAACACCAGUGGCGAAGGCGGUUCUCUGGGCCUUUCCUGACGCUGAGGAGCGAAAGCGUGGGGAGCGAACAGGCUUAGAUACCCUGGUAGUCCACGCUGUAAACGGUGGGUACUAGGUGUGGGGUCCAUUCCACGGGUUCCGUGCCGUAGCUAACGCUUUAAGUACCCCGCCUGGGGAGUACGGCCGCAAGGCUAAAACUCAAAGGAAUUGACGGGGCCCCGCACAAGCGGCGGAGCAUGCGGAUUAAUUCGAUGCAACGCGUAGAACCUUACCUGGGUUUGACAUGGAUCGGGAGCGCUCAGAGAUGGGUGUGCCUCUUUUGGGGUCGGUUCACAGGUGGUGCAUGGCUGUCGUCAGCUCGUGUCGUGAGAUGUUGGGUUAAGUCCCGCAACGAGCGCAACCCUUGUUCACUGUUGCCAGCACGUUAUGGUGGGGACUCAGUGGAGACCGCCGGGGUCAACUCGGAGGAGGGUGGGGAUGACGUCAAGUCAUCAUGCCCCUUAUGUCCAGGGCUUCACGCAUGCUACAAUGGCUGGUACAGAGAGUGGCGAGCCUGUGAGGGUGAGCGAAUCUCGGAAAGCCGGUCUCAGUUCGGAUUGGGGUCUGCAACUCGACCUCAUGAAGUCGGAGUCGCUAGUAAUCGCAGAUCAGCAACGCUGCGGAGAAUACGUUCCCGGGGCU
rnacentral:rRNA from 1 species